GUGCUCGCUUUGACAGCACAUAUACUAAACUUGGAACGAUACAGAGAAGAUUAGCAUGGCCCCUGCACAAAGAAAUAUUUGCUAGAAAAUUCAGAAUACUAU